rnacentral:rRNA from 1 species
UACACAUGCAGUCGACGGAUCCUUCGGGAUUAGUGGCAGACGGGUGAGUAACGCGUGGGAAGCUACCUUGUGGUAGGGGACAACAGUUGGAAACGACUGCUAAUACCCUAUGAGCCCUAUGGGGGAAAGAUUUAUCGCCAUGAGAUGUGCCCGCGUUAGAUUAGCUAGUUGGUAAGGUAAUGGCUUACCAAGGCGACGAUCUAUAGCUGGUCUGAGAGGAUGAUCAGCCACACUGGGACUGAGACACGGCCCAGACUCCUACGGGAGGCAGCAGUGGGGAAUAUUGGACAAUGGGGGCAACCCUGAUCCAGCCAUGCCGCGUGUGUGAUGACGGCCUUAGGGUUGUAAAGCACUUUCAGCAGUGAAGAUAAUGACAUUAACUGCAGAAGAAGCCCCGGCUAACUUCGUGCCAGCAGCCGCGGUAAUACGAAGGGGGCUAGCGUUGUUCGGAAUCACUGGGCGUAAAGAGUACGUAGGCGGACUGAUAAGUUAGGGGUGAAAUCCCAAGGCUCAACCUUGGAACUGCCUUUGAUACUGUCAGUCUUGAGAUCGAGAGAGGUGAGUGGAACUCCGAGUGUAGAGGUGAAAUUCGUAGAUAUUCGGAAGAACA